UACGUAGGGUGCAAGCGUUAAUCGGAAUUACUGGGCGUAAAGCGUGCGCAGGCGGUUUUGUAAGUCUGUUGUGAAAUCCCCGGGCUUAACCUGGGAAUGGCAAUGGAGACUGCAAGGCUAGAGUUUGGCAGAGGGGGGUAGAAUUCCACGUGUAGCAGUGAAAUGCGUAGAGAUGUGGAGGAACACCGAUGGCGAAGGCAGCCCCCUGGGUCAAGACUGACGCUCAUGCGCGAAAGCGUGGGGAGCAAACAGG
rnacentral:rRNA from 1 species